rnacentral:rRNA from 1 species
CACGUAAGGGGCAAGCGUUGUUCGGAAUUAUUGGGCGUAAAGGGCAUGUAGGCGGUUUCGUAAGCCUGGUGUGAAAGGCUGCAGCUUAACUGUAGCAUUGCAUUGGGUACUGCGAGACUUGAAUCACGGAGGGGAAACUAGAAUUCCAGGUGUAGGGGUGGAAUCUGUAGAUAUCUGGAAGAAUACCGGUGGCGAAGGCGGGUUUCUGGCCGCUGAUUGACGCUGAGGUGCGAAAGUGCGGGGAGCAAACAGGAUUAGAUACCCUGGUAGUCCGCACCGUAAACGAUGUACACUAGGUGUAGGGGCAUGAGUCUCUGUGCCAAAGCUAACGUGAUAAGUGUACCGCCUGGGAAGUAUGCCCGCAAGGGUGAA